CCACUCGCAUACAAGCGAACGGCGGUUCGGCCGAACCGAAUAGCAGGCGCGCAGCAACUGCAGGCAGAGAAAGCGGCCGAACGGGAGAGUGGGUGGCUGGGGGAGCGAGAAGGCAACUGGCGAGUGCGAAUGAGCGAGACAGCAGGGCUGUUGCCUCUGCGCGAGAAAGCAAGUUAUGUUAUGGAGUGUACAGAACAAUGUUGUAAACGAGUGAGUGCAAUUAAGUGAGUGAGAGUAACUGAGUGAAAGAGCAAAGACAAAAUCUCACGUCACGGAAUCUCAGGGAUGAAAAAAAGGUCAGCGAUUUAUAGAAGAGCGAUUUGUUUGCUAUUCUUUGCUAAUGUUGUUUUUGUUUUCGCUACUGGGUUUAAUUAAAAAACAAAACUCCGUUAACCCAUUGAGGUAGGUGUCAAAUAGAAGGGAAAGACAACUAAAUGAGUCAAAAACACACGUAAUCACGAAAUGCUUCUCAUUUGCGGAAAUUUGAAAUCUGCGGAAACAAAUCUUAAAUGUUCUUAACUUCCAAAUGAAAUAAUCUUUUAUAAAGAAAUUACGAACUAAACAUUUUAAAUACAAAAACCAAAACUUUAAGUGAUAGCAAGAUAAGAAAAGAGUUAUCGAGAGCCGCGCCAUUCUUAAGGGGAGUGGAAUUUUCUUGGUUUUCUUGGGAUAUCAUUAAAUUUCGGCAGCGAACUUCAGAAAACCGUUUUCAUUUUGGAGCGCAGAAACCAAUCGAAAGAAAAGAAAAGACACUUUCUUGAGAAGCGAAAACUUUAUGAAGCUUGUGAUUAUUUCUGUUAAUGUCUCGACAUUAACAUUUUAUUACGAUUGGAGGCGAGUGAGAUAACUUAUGAGGAAAAACUGCAAAGUGAUUCAGUGUCACAGGAACAUAUUUCUAGGUACAGCGGAAAGAAAAUUGCAAAUGAAAAAAGUGUUUAAAAAGUAUCGUAUAAUUUUAUAAAAAUAUAACUUAAUAUUUUACCGAACGCAUAAUAAGUUUUGUAGUUUAAAACACAUUUCAUUAUUACAUCUCAUUGCUCUAACAAUUUGUUUUAAAAAUCCAUACAUAACAUAAUUUCAGUAUUUUCAUUUAAUUAUAUUGAAUAAAUGAAAAAUUCAUCCUCAGCAUUUAAUGCUCCUCAAAUUUGUACAUAAAUCCAGUACAAUUUUAUCUCACAGAUUUUUACCCAAUGAUCUCAAUUCCAAAUAGAGCGCCAACAAGAGAGAGCACUAUAUUUGUAUACACAGGCAGUAACAGUUUUAGAGUGAGAGAGAAAAACACGAAGGUCCACUGUUAAAGCUUCCGUGGGACUUUAACAUCGACCGGCGGACACGAAAACAUUGCAAAAUCGGCACGAAUUAAAAAAUCGCCGGCGACGACAGAAACGCGACAGAAACGGACGGUAGUCCGUCUCGCGUUUCUCGCAGCGCCCAAAACCGAAAAACAGCGUGCGGCAUUUGAUGCGGAAUCGCAUUGAAUCCGAAACACAGCCAGAAGUGAAACGGCGGCGACUUACGUCGCGCGUCUAUCGCAAAAACGAACAGGCGCCCAGCGCCGGCAGCAGCGCGAUUGUGGUGCGUUUUCAGCCGCCGCUGUUAGUGCUCAAAACGGUUAUGCCUGCGAAGAGAGCACAAGAGCGAACUAUUUUAUUUUGUUUCCAUGCGCCAGUGUGUGUGUGUGUUUGUGUGAAUAUGCUGUGAGCUCCACAGAAAACUAUUUGUACCCAGCAAUUGAAAUACAAUUUUGAUUCACAAAAGCGUUGAUGACGUUUUUAUGAAACGUCAUAAUAAGUUAAACAAAGUUUAAUGUUCUAAUGACUUAACCACAUGCAUAAAGAAUUUUAAUACAGAAAAUAAGUUGUUGAAGUUUGAUUAGUAAUAUCAAUCACGUUAUCUUGUAUUAAAAAAAUAAUGGUACAGGCGGAGUUGGGAUUGCAAUGCAUUGUAUUUUAUCUAUCAAUAGAAAUAACUAAAAAAAAAACAAACAUCGGAACAAUACAACUUUUUCAACAUGUAGCCACAAAUAGUAUUAAUAUUUAUGUCAUUUGCAUUUUAAUAAUAAAUUGACGUAAGCAUCGAAGCUACUUAUAUAAUUUCAUGCAGUACUAUUUUAUCUGUUAAUCUGAUCAUAAAACGCCCGUCAGCAUUGGAAUUAAUGAAUUAAUUUGGUAGCUGCAAAAACCGCUUGCGUUUCCAAUCGCAAGCCGAAAAAAAUGCGGUUUUAAACGCGACCGGCGAGAAGAUACAUUUUAUUGCAAAUGGAGAAGCGGCGAAGAUGGCUGAAAGUCGUCGGCUGGCUGAAACGUCUGUUGGCCCAUGAGAAAACGACGCCAAACAAAAUGGUGCCGCCUCCAGUGACGAAAGCGACAAGCCAACUAACUAGCCAAGUUACUAACAACCAACGACUAACGACAAACGCAACACAAAGAGAACGACAAACGACGACGGCGGCGACAAAAAGUCAAUUUUAUCGGAAACUAACAGGCUGCAAGCAGCCGGAGAAAGCAAAGCAAAGCUGGGGCGGAAAAGCCAAGGUGGACUUUCCACUUUUCGUUUGUCUGGCCUGGAAAAGCUCUCUUUCUCUAUUCCUCUAUGGCUCGCCAGCGCUGGGCGCCUAAUCCGAAUUGCGAGAAAGAUCCGCUUUUCGAGCCAAAAACCAUCGAAUAGCCCGGCAAGCACACAGCUCGCACAAAUUUUCCGCCCAGAGCCACGCCCCCGAAAUUCGGAGUGCCGCCCCCCUGGAUGUCCGGGCCAAAAUCCAAGCCAUCCGGCCGGGACAAAGGCGAGCGGCAGACUGAGGGAAAAUCAAGGAAAAUUUUGAAGCCAAACCGCAGAAAGCGCUGGAGAAAAGUAGAUGGCUAUGUUGCUUUCGCAGGGGGUGUGGCGGGGGGUAGUUAUUCGAAAAGGGGGUGGUGCUUGGGUGGAAAGUACAGAACCAACAUCUCAGUGCAAUUAACUUGAUUGUCUCUGCACAUGCGCAUUGUGGAAAACUCCAAUCGUGUACUAUGUUUACCCAAAUGCUAUCGUAUUAAUUUGGCUUUCCCGUAAAUUGUGCAGUUUUACCGAUUUAUGGUCAAGCUGUUAAAGUUAUUAAAUAUUAAUAAUGGGGUUAAUUAUAGGGAAAUAAUAUAAAUAUAGCAGCCAAAAGUAUUAUUACUAUUUGUACUCUUUCUCUAUUAGUUUAUGUGUUAUAAAAAUAAGCUUCAAAUGUAUUAUACUUUAAUAGCAAUAUAAUUAUAAUCAUUUGUUUUGCAAACGUGCAUAAAAUGAAAUACGACCCAGUUGUAUAAUUAAUUGAUAAGAAAAUGAGCCAAAGUAUUUUAUUUACACAAGCCGCUCAAUAAACCGGAAAUGCCAUCUCUGGCUUUACUUUUCUCAGCUAAAUUGUGAUUCUAUAGUAUAUCAUUUCGAAAAGAAGAUAACACAUUGAAUCGCAGGAUUUUAGUUCACACGCAGGGCGAAACCGCAAGCAUUCGCCAUGAUGUAUAAAUAAAAAUCGAGGAAAGCCCACAAGUAGAUGCAAAUUGUUGGCCAGCUGCAGCUGCAGCAACAACAGCAACACAUCAGCAGCAGCAGCAACUUCGCCUCCAGCAACAUCAAACGGCAAUCGCAGCAACAACAGGUCCCGAAACAGAUGUCGUGCGAUUCUUUGUGGAGUAGGGCAUGGUGGGGCUGAGAGGAGUUGGGGAGUAUCUUGCAACAGCUGCAACAUGCAACAUUAUCGUCGAUGCUGCUGCAACAUUGCAGAGGGCGCCACUGUUGUUGUUCCAUGCCACCAGCGAUGCGGCGCUCAGAAAAUCCAGCCUGCCGGUACAGUGGUAAAAUGCUAAAGUGGCAAGUGCCCCACCAGCGGGAUACACAACACACAACACAACACACACAAAUGCACAUACACACUCUCACGAACAAGGAAAAUUCGCAAUAAGGCAACAACACAAUACGAAAUAAAAGCCACAACGGCAACGGAACCGGUUGUUCAAACUAGCACAAAAAGUAGUCGAGGAAAAAGAGGAGACCAUUGUAUGGCUACUCCUUCUGAGCUCCCAAUCCCAAAGAGCCCCAACUACAACUGGGCGAUUUCUCGAACAUGCCGGGCACUUACUUCAUUACCCGCCACUGAAAACAUAAGAUACUUCAAAGGAUUCGAAGGAAUCUUGUGGUUUUUAACUCGACAGAUACUAUUGGAUACUAAAACGACGCAGGAACAGAAAUCCAAAGAACAAUAUACAAUCUUCAAUAACUAAAGAGUUCAUUAUGAUUACGGCCUGUUUAAACAAGACAAAUUCCCAAUAUUUGCGGAAGUCAUGUGAUGACUUGAAAAUACAAUAAGAUAAGGGGUUAUCAAGGGGUCAUUAUGUUCCUAUAAUUAUGUUGUUAUCAAAUGGAAACGUGGACACUGCGAAUUUAUUUCUUACAUUGCUUAAAGCAUAUAUUGCUUAUAGUUCUCGAUGGUUGAUGCUUUGAAUUUUUGUUUGCCCAGCUAUGUAUCAUAUAGGAACGCACUCCUCUCGACUCGUUGGAACCCGUCUCUGCACAGCUGCCUGCACCCAUUUAACCCAUGUUGUACAACAAUUUAACGGCCAACCACUCGCUGAGGCUCUUCUGCAGAAUGCCGCUCGAAUCUUCUGCUCGCAGGGGUGACUUUCCACGGGAGGAAAGGACGGAAAACCCAUAAAACGAAUAGGACAAUGAAUAAAUGCCUGACUGCCUGCCAACUUUAAUUAAUUUUCUAUUUCUGUUUUCAUGCUACACGAUUGCCGAAGAGCGUACCACUUUUUGAACGAUUCAAAAUUAUUCAAUACGUUCGUGGGGUUAAAGUAAAUACAUAUACAUAUUAUAAAUUCGAUUAUAGUGUGUCAGCCCUUGAAGCCUUUGCAUUAUUCUGUAAAGUGCUUGAUAAUUCUGUGCAAUAAAACGAAAUGCUUUUACUUUGAUCAGUUGCCUACAAAGUAUCUUGAGUCCACAGUAGAAAACCGGUUUUUAGCAAGGAUAUGCCAUUAUUUGAAGCGCUCUUGAGGACUUUUGCAAACAUACAUACAUUUGUGUGUUGGUACUUAAAUGUAAAUGUACCUGGGCAGGUGCGAGUAAUCCGCGAAAGGACUCAGUGCGGAACGAGGCAUGACGAGGAGAGCCUGUCGCUCGUAUCCUCCAAGUCGAACCCACAAUUGCUCUUCCGGUUCCAUCCCCACCACUUGUCCCCUCAUUUUGUGCCCCAGAAUUAACCCCUCACUCGCCGGUCCCGCUAAUGAAGUCUUAAAUUGUCUGUCGUUUCGCAAUGCUUUUUGCUAAAUUAACAAACAGCGCGCGGAAAACUAUAAAAAAAGGAAAACAAAUAAAAAAUUAAACGGGGUCCGGUCUCUGCUUUACCCAUCUGCCCCCCACCCCCAACCCCCUUCAGCACUCCCAAAUCCCCUUUUAUAUUGCGCUUAAAUAUUUAUGAGCUACACGUGACGAUGGCUGAAAGCCAUGAAAUUGUCGCUAAGCGAUGAGCUGAAAACAAAUAAAAUUAUAACAUUUAACUCGUGGAAUAACUUGAAAAGUUAUAUUUGCUAGUUUUCAUAAACAGCAUUAAAACUAACGACUGUAAAAGAUUUCCACAUUUAGUAGAAGCUUUAACAUAAAAAUGCUUAUAAUUAGCAUUAUACCAUCGCAUUUCCUUCUUAGAUAUUAACUUCCUUGUUUUGUUUUUACGAAUUAGAGAACAUCCAACAUAUUAAUUAAUUAAUAAACGGCCAAUUCCACGCUUACUAAUACAUGUUUAAGAUGGUUUUCUAAGUACGAAAUGCCAUUUAGACAGUCUUGUGCCCACAAAACAUUUUCUAGUUUUCUAUUUAUUUUGUUUUAUGGGCGCGAAAGUUGAUUAACGUUAAUUAAUUCAUGCUGCGAGUGGCGUUUAUAUUUGAACAAAUUGGAACUAAACGAGAUGUUCGAGUGCCCGGAAAUGCACACACACACACACUCGCAUACACACACAACCGCUGAGAUACAAGAUGCAAACACACAGAUACAAUGUUUGACCCAGUAAUUAAGGCGUGUUUAGCAGGCGCAUUUCAUGAGGCUAAUUAAUGAAGUUCAGUCCAUCAGCAUGCAGCUUCAUAUCGCCCUCCCGCUCACCAUUUCCCAUCUCUUUUUUCUUCUUGGCAACCUGUUUUCCCUUGGUCUUGUGUACACAACAAAAGCAAUUUCAGGGAAAACAUUUCUCCCAUUUUUCUAGUAUUUUUCUUUUCUCUAUUUUCCUCGGUUACUUAGUAGAUGCAACCAAAAACGCUCCAGGCUCGUAAGCGCAAACAAAUUAAACGCAGCAAAGGAACGAGGAAGAUGAACAGAAAUACAGUAAAACUGGUCGAAGAAGAACAGUCUAAGCCAAUGUUUAUAGAAGUACACAUAUGCCAUUAACGAUUCAAAUAUCGAACAAAUAUCAAAUAUCAUAACUUCUGAUGUAUACAAUAUAUGACUUAUGUAGACAUUUAGUUUUGCAGUGAAAUAUGUAAAUAAUAGGGGCUAUACCUAGUCCCCAAAGUUUGGUUUGUGUAGCGAAUUAUAAUAACUCGUCGUUGUUUAGAUUAGAAGAUAGUGAUUCUUAAGUGAAAAAGUAUUAGUUUUUAGCUAAGCAAGUUCGACCCCAUUUUUUAAAAAAACCGAUGACAGCAACAAAAAUCGAAGGGAAGCCGCACAAAAUGUCCAACAAAACAGCGACGCCGACAGCGCGGUAGCGGCGCAGCAACAGAGGCGGCAGCGUGGGAGUUUCGUUAACAGCUGUACCCCAAAACGCGCUCUCUCUUUUGUUCUCUCAGCACGUAACAACAUCCCUGCGUCACACUUUGUUAUUGCUGUUGCUGUUGUUCCUGUGGGCUGUUGCUGUUGUUGUUGCUGCUGGUGUGGUUGGUGCUGCUGAUGUUCCUGCGCUGCUGCUGCCCAAGUUGUUGUUGGCUUUUUGUCACAGGUCGUUGCACUACCAAUACCCAUGCAACAAAGAGAGCGAUGUACGCUGUACAGUGUGACACAUGCAGGCCGCUCGGACGGCAGUCGUCGACAAAAGCGAGCAGCAACAGCAGUAACAGCAACAAUAGCGCAGCAUCAGAAACCCCCUUCACCACCCCUGUGCGACCGACAAAACCGACCUGAAUUCAUUUGCUUGGAAAUGCAAAUCCACAAGGGUAUAAGGAAUUCGGACAUAAAUAUGUAAUGAAUCAAGUGGCUGCAGGUUUCCAUUAAAAAGGCCCAAUUAAAACCAAGUGGAAAUCUUGUUGGGAGAUCAAGGAGUUAUUUUCCCCAUUAAUCCUUUCGUAUAUUUUCGUAUUUUUUUUGGGGGGAAAUUUUAAAGAAUAUAGUCAAGUGGUACCAAAAAAAAAAAAUUGUUGUGUGAUUAUUUUGUGUAUCUCGCGGGGCAUAAAAGAAAAGCAUUCAAAUGAACUUUUCUCGCUGGUAUGGUUGUUGUUCUUGUUGUACGUGGCACAAGUGCGGCCGCAUGCUCAAGCACACACCCAUACACCUAAAGAAGGAACCAGAAAACGUGUUGAGUGGCAAAAAAGAAUAAUAAUAAUAAAAAACAAGAAUGAGCGCUUUAAGCACUUCAGGUUAGACCAACGCGAUACCCGCUAGUAACCGACAGUUGGCAAACGGAGCUCUUUAGAAUUUCAUCUCACUUAAGACUUAAUUUCAAGAGUAUAAAAAAGUGCAUUAGGAAUUUUUAACAAAGCCAUUUAGAGUUAGAGGAGCACUUUUUACUACCACUAAAGUUUUAAGGACUUGUCAGGAUUUUGAGAGCAUGCUUUCUUUACAUAGAUUAUUACUGAUUACAUUUUGUUUCCGAAUUAUAAUCAGAUUGAUUUUAAUGAUCAAUCAUGAUAUAUUUUUCUUUCUUACGCAAAAACAAUAUACCCUACGUAAUCUCGGUGUGCAGGGUAUAAAAUCAAGUAAAGAAUACCAAACAAAAACAAGCCAAACAGAGAUAGGGCUCCUUCUGCCUAGCAAAUUUCAUAUUCAACAUAUUCUCCACCUUUUUCACCCUUUUUCCAGGCAAUUUGAUUUUUGCAAAAGUUGAGUGUUUCCCCAAACAUUCUGUUUUCCCCGUAUCCCAAUUUAAAGUUUGUGAUUUUAAAUGAUUAAUGUUCAAGUCGAGAUUUCGUACAAUGAUUGAUUAAUUAACGUUGACAACCCAACGGCAAAGAAAACAAAAAUUGCCGACACACGCACACCCUUUCCGUAAACACACACAAACACAAAGGCGGUCUCUUUCGGUUGUCCAGUUUUCCAAAACUUCUUUUUUUAGUUAAUAAAUUGACUUCCAUUUUCGUUACGGUCUUUUCUUAUCCCCUUCUUCCAUCUACAUGAUAUUAUUGUUGCCGUUGCGUUUCCCACCCAAAAGCAUUUUCCUAUGAAAUCUGAAACGAUGGCUCUGCGGACGUUGAUGUGUGUGUGGCCAGGUUUUAGCCUUGAUUGAUUCGAAACCGAGUUUAGUUAGCCCGAGAAACCGUAAGGGGUAGUAGAGAUCAAUGCACAGAGAGAAAUCAAUGUGUUCUUCAUGGAUACUUUUGUUAUUAAGAAAAUGCAGUAAAAAGUCAUUGUUAUUAAAAUACAAGGCUUAAGGGAUUGGAAUACAUUCCGAUUACGAAUGUGGCUUGAGAAAUGUUUACAAAUAUUGCUCUAGCUUUUCUCUCAGUGUUCAUAUUUCCUUUGCAGUUUGCCACUGUCAAUCGAGUCUCUUUCUCACCUCAAUUUCGAGCCAUAUGUGCGUGUGUUUGCAAAGGUGUACACGCAAUUAAUUAUGUUGACAACUGACAUCAAUUGAAACGCUAUCGGAAGGCAAUCAUCAAA